AAGUCGUAACAAGGUUUCCGUAGGUGAACCUGCGGAAGGAUCAUUAAAAGUUGUACCCUUCGGGGUUACUUCCACCCUUGCAAAUAUACCACUGCUUGGCCUUCGGGCCAAAUUUUAAAUCUGUGAUUGUUUUCUGAACGAGACAAAAUUAAAAAAA
rnacentral:misc_RNA from 1 species